CAACGUAAACAACCUGCCUUCAGGAUGGGGACAACAGACGGAAACGACUGCUAAUACCGAAUAAGUUCCAAGGGCCGCAUGGCCCAUGGAAGAAAAGGUGGCCUCUACCUGUAAGCUAUCGCCUGAAGAGGGGUUUGCGUCUGAUUAGCUGGUUGGAGGGGUAACGGCCCACCAAGGCGACGAUCAGUAGCCGGUCUGAGAGGAUGAACGGCCACACUGGAACUGAGACACGGUCCAG
rnacentral:rRNA from 1 species